rnacentral:rRNA from 1 species
AUUGAACGCUGGCGGCUGGCCUAACACAUGCAAGUCGAGCGGAUGAAGGGAGCUUGCUCCUGGAUUCAGCGGCGGACGGGUGAGUAAUGCCUAGGAAUCUGCCUGGUAGUGGUGGAUAACGUCCUCAAACGGGCGCUACUACCGCAUACGUCCUGCGGGAGAAAGUGGGGGAUCUUCGGACCUCACGCUCUCAGAUGAGCCUAGGUCGGAUUAGCUAGUUGGUGGGGUAAAGGCCUACCAAGGCGACGAUCCGUAACUGGUCUGAGAGGAUGAUCAGUCACACUGGAACUGAGACACGGACCAGAGUCCUACGGGAGGCAGCAGUGGGGAAUAUUGGACAAUGGGCGAAAGCCUGGUCCAGCCAUGCCGCGUGUGUGAAGAAGGUCUUCGGAUUGUAAAGAACUUUAAGUUGGGAGGAAGGGCAGUAAGUUAAUACCUUGCUGUUUUGACGGUACCAACAGAAGAAGCACCGGCUAACUUCGUG